UUCUGUUCUCAGGGCGGGGUGAAACUCCCCACCGGCGGUAAGAGUUUCGGCUCGAGCCCGCGAGCGCCUUCCCUCGUGUCCAAGCGGGGGAAGGGUCAACAGAUCCGGUGCGAUUCCGGAGCCGACGGUUAAAGUCCGGAUGGAAGAGAAUGAGU
rnacentral:ncRNA from 2 species